GGAGGGGAGAGCCCAGUGGCAGAGCAUGUGCUUAGCAAGCACGAGGUCCUGGGUUCAAGCCCUCGUACCUCCA
rnacentral:tRNA from 1 species